rnacentral:rRNA from 1 species
AUUGAACGCUGGCGGCAGGCCUAACACAUGCAAGUCGAGCGGAUGAAGGGAGCUUGCUCCUGGAUUCAGCGGCGGACGGGUGAGUAAUGCCUAGGAAUCUGCCUGGUAGUGGGGGAUAACGUCCGGAAACGGGCGCUAAUACCGCAUACGUCCUGAGGGAGAAAGUGGGGGAUCUUCGGACCUCACGCUAUCAGAUGAGCCUAGGUCGGAUUAGCUAGUUGGUGGGGUAAAGGUCUACCAAGGCGACGAUCCGUAACUGGUCUGAGAGGAUGAUCAGUCACACUGGAACUGAGACACGGUCCAGACUCCUACGGGAGGCAGCAGUGGGGAAUAUUGGACAAUGGGCGAAAGCCUGAUCCAGCCAUGCCGCGUGUGCGAAGAAGGUCUUCGGAUUGUAAAGCACUUUAAGUUGGGAGGAAGGGCAGUAAGUUAAUACCUUGCUGUUUUGACGUUACCAACAGAAUAAGCACCGGCUAACUUCGUG